UUGCUUUGGCUGCACAUAUAUUAAAAUUGGAAAGACACAGAGAAGAUUAGCAUGGCCCCUCCACAAGGAUAACAUGCAAAUUUAUGUAGUAUUCCAUAACAAA